GCACCCGCGGCUCAGCGGCUAGCGCGUUUGUUUCCAAAUUUCCAGUCGUGGGUUCGAACCCCACCGAGGUCA